rnacentral:tRNA from 1 species
GACGGCGUAGCGCAGCGGCAGCGUGAUCGGCUCAGGACCGAGAGGUCUCGGGUCCGAAUCCGGCUGCCGUGU